GACGAACGCUGGCGGCGUGCUUAACACAUGCAAGUCGAACGAAGUGGCGAACGGGUGAGUAAUAAGUGGGGAACCUGCCCUCCUUUUUGGGAUAAGCCUUGGAAAAGGGGUCCAAUACCGAAUAAAGGGGGAGGGGCUGGGGGCCUAUCAGCUUGUUGGUGGGGUGACGGCCUACCAAGGCGGUGACGGGUAGCCGGCCUGAGAGGGUGACCGGCCACAUUUGAACUGUGAGACGGCCCAGACUCUUACUGGAGGGGGCAGUGGGGGAUAGUGCACAAUGGGCGAAGGCCUGAUGCAGCUGCGCCGCGUGGGGGAUGAAGGCUUUCGGGUUGUAAACCUCUUUCGCUAUCGAACAGGUAUGUGGAGAAGAAGCGCCGGCUAACUACGUGCCAGCAGCCGCGGUAAUAC
rnacentral:rRNA from 1 species